rnacentral:rRNA from 1 species
UACGGGGGGGGCAAGCGUUGUUCGGAAUUACUGGGCGUAAAGGGCUCGUAGGCGGCCAACUAAGUCGGACGUGAAAUCCCCAGGCUCAACCUGGGAACUGCAUCCGAUACUGGAUGGCUUGAAUUCGGGAGAGGGAUGCAGAAUUCCAGGUGUAGCGGUGAAAUGCGUAGAUAUCGGGAGGAACACCAGUGGCGAAGGCGGUUGCCUGGAGCUUUGCUGACGCUGAGGCGCGAAAGCGUGGGGAGCGAUCCGG